CCCUCAAGUGAAAAACCGAGUGCGGGGCCCCUCUGUGUGUUGACUGGGGAAGGGCGGGUAUCACGCUUCCUUUCUCUUCGGCGGGCCAUCCUCGCCACCAAAACCCUAAGAACCGGGCCAGAAAGGGUCGAGAAAGAGAGGGAGAGGCCCCUUCCUCCCGCCAUGGCGAUCCUCUACGCCGUAGUUGCGAGGGGGACGGUGAUCCUUUCGGAAUUCGCCGCCGUGACGGGCAAUACUGGUGCCGUGGCCCGGCGGAUCCUCGAGAAGCUCCCCCCGGACUCCGACUCCAGGCUCUGCCUCUCCCAGGACCGCUACAUCUUCCACGUCCUCCGAUCCGAUGGCCUCACCUUCCUCUGCAUGGCCAACGAUACCUUCGGAAGGAGGGUUCCAUUUUUAUACUUGGAGGAUAUCCACAUGAGGUUCAUGAAAAAUUAUGGCCGAGUUGCUCAUUCUGCAUUAGCUUAUGCGAUGAAUGAUGAGUUCUCCAGAGUGCUACACCAGCAGAUGGAGUUCUUUUCCAGUAACCCAAGCGCAGAUACGCUUAACCGUGUACGAGGUGAAAUCAGCGAGGUACACACUAUCAUGGUCGAAAAUAUAGAGAAGAUAUUGGACAGAGGAGAUCGAAUUGCACUUCUUGUUGACAAAACUGCUACAAUGCAAGAUAGUUCCUUUCAUUUUAGGAAGCAAUCCAGGCGCCUUCGCCGAGCACUUUGGAUGAAAAAUGCAAAGCUUUUUUUUCGCAGUGUGAUUGGUGAUACUACUAUUUUGGCUCUGGGGACUCCAAGCUUCAGAGUCACAACCUCCUAAAACAGAGUGGUGUUUGGCUAAGCAUAUCCUUAAAACUAAGGCCUUCAACAUGCUGCUGUCUUAGAAGUGUUGAAGCAGUAGCCUAGCUGCAAUUCACUUUCAGUUGUUUGGAUCUGUCUCUGUUUGUGAGGGGUAUUGGGGAUGCUUUUUAUCACUGAACCAACUGGCAAUGCCAUAUCAAUUCAAAUGAUUUAUUCUUUGUUUCAACCCCAAGUGUUGAUUUUGCCAUGGGUAGGUGUCAUUCAAUUAAGGUGUCAUACUUUUCAUUGACUACCAACUGGAAAUGGUGAAGCAUGAAUGCCAAUAAUAAUCCACCACUCUGCACUCUAGCAAGAGCCUUGUUGACAUUUGCGAUAGUCCUAUUGCUGUAUAUUAUAAUUGCUGCAUGCUGUGGAGGCAUUACUCUUCCAUCAUGCAGAUCAUGAUGGACUCGUGGAUAUUUGGCUUUCAGAAGGCACAUAUUACUACCUUCAUAAAUUUUCUUGCCUUUGCAAUGAGGCCCUCUUCGGAAACAAUCUUCUUGGUACGUUAGCAUAUGUGGCUGGUAGUUGCAAACCAAGGAUUUCUACAUGCUGAAAAUUCCUCCAUUGUUUUCUAUAGCCUGGUACACAUUUUUGUCUCUUCAAUUAGUUCUGUUGAUGCUGGGUUUUCUGUAUAAUGGUUGUAAUUAUUCUAUUACAUAAUCUUUCUCCGUGGUUAUUUAUCUCUUACUUUAGAAUAACUGCUUCUGUACCGAACAGUUGGUUUACUGAGGUUGCAAGUUGUGUUGGGCGCAAUUGUCACUA